GUCUUAAAUCAUCCUCAAAAACAAAUAAUUAAUGGUUGUGAACUUGAUGUUCGGUCAUACAGUUCAUGGUUGAAAACUACUCAGGAAAAUGAAAACAGUGCCUCGGGCAACAAUGACGACGUUGAUUCAGUUCCUACAAAAGAUGACGAGGAUAAAGCCACGAUCUAUGUCAGCGGUCUUAAAGAGUCAACGAAUGAUGAAAGGAUCGCACUAUUUUUUGAAAAUAAACGAAGAACUGGUGGAGGCGAACUUCGUGAUGGGAAAGAAGGAUUUGAGCGAUUGACACCAACCGUCGCUCGUUUGACUUACGUUUCCUCAAAAGACGCUGAAAACGUGCUGAAAAGGC